CUGUAGUUAAAGGACAGAGACAUUUAAAAGCUCAUAGUGACCUUUAAGGUCAGACGGGGAGUGUUCUGCCCUUCAGGCAUUUCAUUUGAAUUGAAUGCUUUAAAUUUGUGUUUCAUCCAGACUUUUAUUUUGACGUUGUAUUUUCGAGCUGCACAGGAAGCAGGAAGGAAAAUAGUUUAGAUCACGUUAGAAUGCGCGCGUAGAAAACGUUGGAAACGGCAGGUUGUUUGGGAGUGCAGACGGUCACUACCCCAGAGAAAGGCUUCUUGCAUGUUGGUUCCCCAGCAGAGGCAUCGCUUUUUCACUCUCUUUCAUCUUUUGAUCUCUUGAUCUUAUCUACAUGGAUUCAAUACAAUGUGAAGAAUGAAAAUAAAUCUACAAACAAGAA